UCCCCCUGUCCCUGUCCCACUGCAGCAAGGCUGUACCAGGAGCGAGUGUGAGGAGCUGGGCUGCACCCCAAGGACAGCCCCUGACUGCAGCCACUGCCUGGGGCUCCAAAAGUCCCCCCAAACCCAACUGAACGGCUUGGCUCCCUCCCACGGGACUCUGAGUUCUGCCACCGCCCAGGAGCAGCCUGGUGAAUACAGCCAGGGUUUGUAAAGCCUUUGUAGCUGGUUGUGCCCACCUGAAAUAACCUGGAAUAACCAAAAGCUGCGUGCUGGCCCUGCAGGCAGCUUUAUCUGCUGCAAUUGCUGCUCUGGGCAGAGCACAGGGGCACCGAGGGGAGCUCACCUGGAUCCGAGCACGACCACACCACCAGCCCGGAGUCAGAUGUGAAAACCUGCACAGCUCUGAGCUCUGCCCUUCAAUCCAGCACAGAAUAAACCCACUGUUGUGCACAGCACAGACCCACCAGUGCCUGCAUCCCACUCCACAGCAAGUGGAAUUCAUUCAGAGCCACCAGAUGCAGCAUCAGCCCCCAAAAUACAGAAACUCUUUAUCAGCAGGGAAGAGCAGGCUGUCACUGUGCCCUGCCCAGGAGGACCUGAGCACCCCCAGUCACCACUGCACCUCCACACGGAGCCAGCAGCUCUGAAACUCUUGAAACUCCACCUGUUUCGAGGGGAACACAACACAGCUGAAAGAAAAUCACUGCAGAGAACAGUUUAUGUCAUUCUUUUUAUGCCUCUCUUCUGUUGUUCUUAAUGCCAGAGCUGCUUCUCCGUGUCCCUUGUGGAGAGGUCCAAGCAGAAGAACCACGCAGGCAUCUUAUCAUAUACUCCCUGAAAAGAAAGCUGAUGGCAGAUCCCACUCAGAAGAGUGAAGAAUACCUGAAGAGUCACAGCAGAGCCAGUGCUCAGUUCUGGGACAGAAAAAGGGAGAAACAUUGUUUACCCCAGAGUCAGUCAGCUGAAAAAAAUGAUGAAAUUCUGAUGGAAACUCAUCCCAUGCACUCUGAAACCGUGUCACUCCUGCAUUUGUUGGUGAUGUAGAGCGACCACUGCUCUUCUUUGCAUUGAAGAACAAGACUAAAAACCCUAUUAUUUCACCUCCUGGCAUUCCUAAACCCUUUAAUGGUUCCAACCCUUAAAUGCUUCUAUUUUUAAAUAAAAGUUCUUUUAAAAAUUAAAU
rnacentral:lncRNA from 1 species